UGGGGUUACUCUGAUGAGGCACCACACCCAGGAGACACAGGAAGCAUCAACAGAGAAGGAGCUCCUUUAAUUCUACCACUCACAGAGGUGGCCAAAAGUUACACUGAGAAGGGAAAGAUAAAGCCCAGGAAAGAACACUUUCAGGAAUAACUGGAUAUGGUUAAAUGGUCUAUAUUAUUCUGGAUCAUAAGGGACACUUGUUGCCUGAAAGAGCCUAUGAUAAUUCCAGCCCUCUUACAGAUAGACUAACUUCAAACAAAAGAAAAGAAACUCAACUGGCUUCAAAAUCACUCCAGCUGCAUGGCCCAGCUGGAGGGAGACAGAAGGCAUUAUUCCCUGUUGACUCCUUCAGGGGUUGGAAGGGCCCAGUGUUGUUCUUGACAGUUUGAUACUUCAGGCCAGUGCUGGGGGGACGAGAAGAGGCACAUUCUCCCUGGCUUACCCUCGAGUGUGUUUUACAUGCUGAGAUGUACGUGUGCCAUUGACACUCCUUCUGCUGCCUCUGCUGACGGGCUCCAUCAGACCCUGGGGCAUGAGGCAGGAGCCCAUCCGUUCACUUGAGCAGCAUUUCAGUACCAGAUCCCCAAGAGCAUUAGAAGUAUAUCCCUACAACUGGAAUGUGCAGUGGAUUUUGCUGGUCUGUCCAUCCAUCCUUCUCUUCAGAAACCUUUGGUCAG